AUGGGCCCGGUUUUGGGGGUGCUGGCUCUGCAGUUUCCAGCAUCAUUGGCCCUGACAGUAAAUACAAAAUUUUGGCAGCAUCUUCUACUGGGAUUGCAGCCCACCCAGGCCAACACCCAGCCCCACACCCACACUCCACACACACACCGCACACCCCACACCCCACACACACAUCCCCUACCUCCCACACCACACAUUCCCUACACCACACACACACACACCAUCCCCACCCCCCACACAUCCACACACCCACCCCUGCCACACCACACCCACACACCACACACACACCGCACCACACACAACCCCACACACCGCACCCACAUACACCACACCCCCCCACCCCACACACACACCACAACCCCCGACACACACCACACACUACACCACACCCCCACACCACACACACACUGCACCACACACAACCCCACACACUGCACCCCAUACACCACACACCCCCUACAUACCACGCACACACCACAACCCCACACACAAACCACACACACCACAGCCCCCCACAACACACACACAUCACCCCCACACCUACACACACACACACACCACCACACACCACACACAAACACACCAAACCCCCACACUACACACUCCUCACACACACAUCAAACCCCCCCCACACCACACACACAUAUAGACGCACACACCACACCCCCCACACCACACACACACACCACCUCCCACACACCACACCCACACACAUCACUCCCCCACAUCACACACACACACACACACCACCGCCCCCGCACAUACCACACCCCCUGCAUACCACACCCCCCACACGCACACACACACCACACACACCAACCCCCCACACACCACACACUCUUCACACACACACCACCCCCACACACACCACACACACAACCACACACAGACGCACACACCACAACCCCCCCACACUACAAACACACCACCCCCCAACAUGCCACACACACACACCACCGCCCCUGCACACCACACACCCCCGCACACCACACACCUCACACACACACAACCCCACACACCACAAACACACACACCCUACCCACACCACACACACACACACACACACACACACAUACACAGACUCCAUGCUUCUAG
rnacentral:lncRNA from 1 species